rnacentral:rRNA from 1 species
UGGGGGAUAUUGCACAAUGGGCGAAAGCCUGAUGCAGCGACGCCGCGUGGGGGAUGAAGGCUUUCGGGUUGUAAACAUCUUUCGCUAUCGAACAAGGCCCGCUUAGGGUGGGUUGAGGGUAGGUGGAGAAGAAGCGCCGGCUAACUACGUGCCAGCAGCCGCGGUAAUACGUAGGGCGCGAGCGUUGUCCGGAAUUAUUGGGCGUAAAGGGCUUGUAGGCGGCUUGUUGCGCCUGCUGUGAAAACGCGGGGCUUAACUUCGCGCGUGCAGUGGGUACGGGCAGGCUUGAGUGUGGUAGGGGUGACUGGAAUUCCAGGUGUAGCGGUGGAAUGCGCAGAUAUCUGGAGGAACACCGAUGGCGAAGGCAGGUCACUGGGCCAUUACUGACGCUGAGGAGCGAAAGCAUGGGUAGCGAACAGG